AUUGAACGCUGGCGGCAUGCUUUACACGUGCAAGUCGAACGGUAACAGGCCGCAAGGUGCUGACGAGUGGCGAACGGGUGAGUAAUGCAUCGGAACGUGCCCAGUCGUGGGGGAUAACGCAGCGAAAGUUGCGCUAAUACCGCAUACGAUCUAUGGAUGAAAGCGGGGGACCGUAAGGCCUCGCGCGAUUGGAGCGGCCGAUGUCAGAUUAGGUAGUUGGUGGGGUAAAGGCUCACCAAGCCGACGAUCUGUAGAUGGUCUGAGAGGACGACCAGCCACACUGGGACUGAGACACGGCCCAGACUCCUACGGGAGGCAGCAGUGGGGAAUUUUGGACAAUGGGCGCAAGCCUGAUCCAGCAAUGCCGCGUGCAGGAAGAAGGCCUUCGGGUUGUAAACUGCUUUUGUACGGAACGAAACGGUCCUGGUUAAUACCCGGGGCUAAUGACGGUACCGUAAGAAUAAGCACCGGCUAACUACGUGCCAGCAGCCGCCGUAAAAC
rnacentral:rRNA from 1 species